rnacentral:tRNA from 1 species
GCGGGCGUAGUUCAAUGGUAGAACUUCUGCUUCCCAAGCAGAUGGCGUGGGUUCGAUUCCCAUCGCCCGCUCCA